rnacentral:rRNA from 1 species
GACGAACGCUGGCGGCGUGCCUAAUACAUGCAAGUCGAACGCAGUGGGGACGGGUGAGUAACACGUGGGUAACCUCCCAUCAGAGGGGAUAACACUUGGAAACAGGUGCUAAACCGAUACUGAUGGAUGGACCCGCGGUGCAUUAGCUAGUUGUGGAGGUAACGGCUCACCAAGGCCACGAGGCAUAGCCGACCUGAGAGGGUGAACGGCGACACUGGGACUAAGACACGGCCCAGACUCCUACGGGAGGCAGCAGUAGGGAAUCUUCAGAGAGGGACUAAAGUCUGACCGAGCAACGCCGCGUGAGUGAAGAAGGUUUUCAGAUCGUAAAGCUCUGUUGUUAGAGAAGCGGUAUCUAACCAGAAGGCCACGGCUAACUACGUGCCAGCCGCCGCGGUAAUUC